ensembl:lncRNA
GGGUUUUCAUCUCUGAGUUUACCUCUCUCAACCUCUGCCUCUCACUGUCUGCCUGUCUCUCUCACACACACACCCCACCCUGGGCACUCUUGGGUCCCACUCACCGCCUCUGCUCCUGAGUUCACCCAUUGGCUUCAUCUGGACACUGGGAGGUGGCGCCCCCAGGCCCUGACCCCCACCGGUGUCCUCAUGCGCAACCAGCAAGGGGUGCCCGGCGUGCAGCUCUGUUGGGGGGCCCCCACCCACCUGUCGCCUGCACGCGUUCGCUGUCGAUGAGACCUGAGUACUCAGAGUGAUGUGGAACCCCAGGAGGGACUGCUAGAGUCCUCAGGGGACAGGAUCCUGCUAAGCCAGCCGGGGGCCGUUGUUUGAUUGGUUCAUGGAGCUGGGAGAGAUUCGCCACGGCGGUGAAAGAGGGCUGCGCAGAGGGGAGGAGACACACGGCUUUGAUUCCACCUUCUGCUCCACACAUGAGCUGGGAGCCCCAACAAACUGGCAAGGCCGCUGGGUCACCAGGGCUGCAGAGCGACACUGCAGAUGCCUUCGCUUCCCUUUGUACAGCCUGCUGGAAUAAUCCCAAAACCACAGAGGCAAGAGAUGAGAACGGAGGAGCAGGCAGGCGGGCACACGAGAAACCGUGCUUGAUUAUCUGCGAGGCUGGAAAUUUUAAUAACGCGGAGGUCCACCCUGGGCUCCAUCCAUGUCCCCAGGCACCUUGACCUCCUGGACAAGGGCUCUCGGGAGGGGAACCCAUCACCGCCUGCUGCACUCUGGGGCCCAGGUCCACACAACCCCACAGGAAUAGCCAAGCAC